rnacentral:rRNA from 1 species
AUUGAACGCUGGCGGCAGGCUUAACACAUGCAAGUCGAGCGAGCGGCGGACGGGUGAGUAAUGUCUGGGAAACUGCCUGAUGGAGGGGGAUCACUACUGGAAACGGUAGCUAAUACUGCCUACCAUCAGAUGUGCCCAGAUGGGAUUAGCUAGUAGGUUGGUGAAUGGCUCACCUAGGCGACGAUCCCUAGCUGGUCUGCUGGGAUGACCAGCCACACUGGAACGGCAACACGGUCCCGACUCCUACGGGAGGCAGCAGUUGGGAAUAUUGCACAAUGGGCGAAAGCCGGAUGCAGCCAUGCCGCGUGUAUGAAGAAGGCCUUCGGGUUGUAAAGGACUUUCAGCGGGGAGGCGUUACCCGCAGAAGAAGCACCGGCUAACUCCGUGCCAGCCGCCGCGGUAAUAC